rnacentral:rRNA from 1 species
AUUGAACGCUGGCGGCAGGCCUAACACAUGCAAGUCGAGCGAGCGGCGGACGGGUGAGUAAUGUCUGGGAAACUGCCUGAUGGAGGGGGAUAACUACUGGAAACGGUAGCUAAUACCGCAUACCCUCAGAUGUGCCCAGAUGGGAUUAGCUAGUAGGUGGGGUACCGGCUCACCUAGGCGACGAUCCCUAGCUGGUCUGAGAGGAUGACCAGCCACACGGGAACUGAGACGCGGUACAGACUCCUACGGGAGGCAGCAGUGGGGAAUAUUGCACAAUGGGCUCAAGCCGGCAGCAGCCAUGCCGAGGGUGUGAAGAAGGCCGUCGGGUUGUAAAGCAGUUUCAGCGGGGAGGCGUUACCCGCAGAAGAAGCACCGGCUAACUCCGUGCCAGCAGCCGCGGUAAUUC